UUUAGCGUACAACAACAACAGCAUGCAAGAAACAUGGGACUCUAUUUCAACAGAGCAGUGCCAAUACCUGCUUAAUUCAAUGCAGGAUCGUUGAAAAUGUGUUAUAGAGGCUAAGGGUGACGUUACCAAGUAUUGCUCGUAAUAUUAAGUAUCUAUAUUAUAUUUAUUCAGAAAAAUAUAUGUUUGUAUGUGUUAUCUGUAUUAUCUUCACAUAUACUCGUAUUGUGUGCUAAACAUUUCAUAUGCGUAAAAACAUUGGCCGUGCGAAUUAAUAGUGGUCAGGGCAAGUAAGUGAAGAGAGAUCGCCAAUUUAGUCGGAUGUUCGCGGGCGAUUUGUGGAAGAAAGCGUCUAACCAGUAAACGAGAAAUCGAAUACUUAUACGCUAGUCUCUCAAGGCUCGCAAAAGAUCGUCUUAAAGCAUAUGGCUGUAGCUUUCGGGGAAACAUUUAUGCAAAAGCAUGAUCAAGCAUGGAAAUAGUUUUACAUUAAUCACCGAAUGUGCUGCGUUUAAAUGAACUAUUAUGAAGAGAGAGAGUGGGUAACCGAAUGAAGCAUGAGUCGCUUUCCUGUGAUGACGAUUACAUCUGAACUUCAAGGACGCCUACACAAAACGUAGGAAUGGCCAUAUCAAAGCUGUACGAGAGGUCUUAAAACAUCGACAGUUAAAAAACUUUUUGGUAUUACCAAGAAGCAUGGAAGACGAAAUUAUUACAAAUACGCAAAACGUCGGUCACAAAACACAAGCACAAAAGAUAAUGCACUUAAUACAGCAAGAUUAUUUCAUUCCACACACAACAGAAGGAUUAGAAAACAAGAAGAUUUGCUCCAUGUAAUCGACAAGGCACAAGCUCCACUAAAUACUAUCCACGUUGUUCAAAUGUUAUUAAUAUAAAUUCGCGAUGGUUGAUGCAUUUUCAAAAUUUACGUGGCUUUUCACAACAAAAACAAUGGAGGUACAAGAAGUCAUUAGGCACAUGUAUACGUGGAUUGAUAUAUACGGUAGUCCAGAAAAAAUUAUAAGAGGCAAAGGUGCAGCCUUCACUUCCAAAAUCUUCAAAGAGCAAUGCUCCAAAAACCAAAUUGAACAUAUCGUAAUUAUUACAGGAGUUGUAAGAGGUAAUGGUCAAACGAAGCGUCUUAACAGCUUGGCGAAGUUGUCUACGUCGCACAGUGGUCCGCAAUCCCAAAUUCUUGGCCAAAACCUCAAAAAUCGAAAGUCACCGAAAGAGAUAAAGCUUCAUCUUUUCUUCAACAGAUGGCAUUAAAGUUUCUUAAUCCGAGAAGUUUUUGUCGGUAUAUGAAAUACCUAGCUGUGGGCACACGCUCAAAUUUGCUCGUCAUCGCGCCACGCGAGAGAUCGCGGCAUUUAACCUAUUUCGUGCGCUUGACAAAAAUUGUCAUAAAAAAGCAAUUUUCAGUGAAAACAUUCGCAACAAAAUGGAGGAUGUUCCUGAAGGAUCGGACAGGAAAGGCGUCAAGUGAACUUAUCAACAAAUAUUUGACCCCAUCCACGGCGAAUGGGACAAAGAAUUGAAAAUUCUCACUAUAAUAAUACCUUUAAAAUUGCUCGAUAAUGGAGAAGAUUCGUUUCAUAUCGAGGAACAGUCGCAACUGGCAAUUAAAAAAAUGAAUUUUCAAUUUGAAAACGAAAUGGGGAACUGCUCACCGCUUGAAGGAUCGUUUCUUAAAGAAUAACAAAAAAUGGCUGAAUAAUUCAAUUGAUGUUACGGUCGUGUUUCUCGAUGCAAAACCGAACGUGACUGAAAGCUCGUUGGAUACCACUUAGUCAAGGAACAGCGGUGGAGGACCGGGAUUAUCUUUUGCCGAGUCUAGUGAACGAUCGAAACGCAGAAAAGUGAGUAAGUUGCGAGAAGAACACGGCACGGAUGAGCUAUCAUUGGCUGUGAGAAUGAGUCUUCGCUCGGAAGGUGCAGUGGCAGCUGCUAAAGUUAUCGAAGACGUCACAACGAAAUCACCAACACGAGCUGAUAAAUAUAGAGCUUCGAUGAACAAAACUGAAGAGAAAAAAAUGUCUCCAGAUGUUGCUCCUGCUCUACUGCUCGAGUCUACAUUAACUGAAGCGCAAUAUCAAAAUAUACGGAGCACUGCAGUAGCUUGCAAUAGUCACAUUUUCCAUCUUACCGAGAUGUUUUGCGAGCUAAGAAAUUUUGUUACCCGCAAGAUAUGAAUAUCUCGGAAACCUGCACAGAAUUUCCAUUACAAUCCCUUUUAAAUCACACCUGUUCCAGAAUUAUACAAAUGAAACAUAAUGUUAUCGAUCAGCUUGAUGCUGACAUUUGUAAAAACCUAUUGUUGGUUGUAAAGUGGGGAUUUGAUGGAAGUUCUGGGCAGAGUGAGUGCAAACAGAGUCGAAAGAAGCACCGAUUCCAACGUUUUGUUGACUUCUCUCGUUCCCCUCCAACUUAGCGAUUUUAAUGCAGAAACUCAUUCAAACAACAUUGGCAAAAUCCACGCCCUUCCUCGCCCUGGUUUUGUAGACCUAUUCGACUGCAAUUCAAACGCGAGACUAAAGAAUCGACAAUUGAAGAGAAGCGUUUUGUUGACGAGCAAAUAACAUCUCUUACAAAAUUUGAUACUUUUCAAGAUAAUAAAAGUAUAGGCGUCAAUUUUAAACUCACUUUUACAAUGAUAGACGGUAAAGUUUGCAAUGUCGUUACUGAAACAACAUCAUCGAUGAGAUGCUAUUUGUGCAAAGCUACUUCAAAAAAUUUCAUGACAUUGAAGCUAUGAAAGAACUUGUCGUCGACACUUCCAACUACCAAUACGGUUUAUCUACUUUGCACUGUUGGAUACGUUUCUUUGAGUGUCUUUUGCAUGUAGGAUACAAAAAAGAAGUUGAAAAAUGGCAGUCUCGAAGUGAAGAAGUGAAACAAUCGCUUGCUAAACGUAAAGCCGUGAUUCAAAAGGCGUUUAAAGAUGAAUUGCAUUUGCUUAUUGAUCAUCCCAAGCCAGGAAUGGGAAAUUCGAAUGAUGGAAACACGGCGGGACGUUUUUUCGAACAUUCCACUGUUUCAGCUAGUAUUUUGGGUAUUGAUCUUGAACUAGAUGAAAGAUUCCACAUAAUUUUGCAAAUUUUGUCGAGUGGCUUUAAUGUGAAAGUGCAAUUAUUCGAAAAAUACUGUCACGAGACUGCCCAGUUGUUUAUGUCAAAAUAUCAUUGGUAUAAAAUGUGCACAAGGUACUAAUUCAUGGACCCAAGAUCAUCGAGGCAUCAAUUAUGCCAAUAGGGCAAUUGUCAGAAGAAGCGCAGGAGUCACGGAAUUAGGAUGUCAGAAACUAUCGAUUGGGUUUUUCGCGAAAAUGUUCCAGAGUCAAGACCAUUCAGGAUAUUUUUAUGCGACUCCUCGCUUCUUCAGAUCCCCUUAUCUCCAGUAUGAGAAAAUCUCGGCCAAAAUAAAGGCAAAAAUUUGUCUCGUGAAGCGCUUCAACUUUUAGCAUUUGAAAAGGGUGACGAUAGCGAUGAUAGCGUGGGAGAUAGCAGUGACAAUGUUACAGAUGAAUGUGAUAGCGAUUAGCAUAUUUCUUUAAUGUAUCUACUUUGAAACAGUAGCGAAACAAUGUCUUUUUUUGUUGAUGAAUACGCUAAUAAGUCGUCAAAAAACAAGAAAUAAAAAUUUUCUAAAUGCCCGUCCUUUCCCGCCAAUUUCCUUUGUCAUUUUCGUAAUCAGCGACCCAAAAAACACUUAUAAUAUGAAUUACAGCACAAACGCACGAUUUUUUGCGAAAAAUUUCCGCCAUUUUUCGUCCGCCAUUUUGAACUUUAAAUUUUAUUUGUCAUUUUCGUAAUCAGCGACUCAAAAAACUAUAAAUCUGAAAAUUUGACAAAAAUCCAUUCACUUUUGUGGUUUUGGCCAAGAAUUUGGGAUUGCGGACCACUGUGCGUCGGAGCCAUAGAAAGCUCAAAGGCUAAUAACGGACACGUUCAUUCAGCAACAAAAUAUACUCCAGCUUAUAUAUGACCGUAUAAAAUCAUUUAAGUUAAGCGCAACUGCCGAUACGUAUAUUCAUAUUUCUUUUAUUUUAAUACUACAUAAUUCCAAUGUGAUACAAUCAAAUUCAUUUAUAUUGUAAACAUUACAAGUAAACUUAUCUUUCUACAUAAAUUUUUUUAUUGUGCUACUGAAUUUAGUACGCUGUACGGAGGCUAUAUACGUUGACGACGUUUUGAUGUUAUCCAAUGAUGAAAAGUCUACGCAGGGUAUUUAGAACGAGUUAUUAUUUCAGUUUGCGAACGAUUGCAUUGUCAUCUACUAAAGCAUUUUGAUAUAAAUUUAUACGAGAGAAGCUGGAGAUUAGAUCUGUAAAGUUGAAAUACAUUUCUACGAAGGAAAUUCUGGCACAUGGCUCGACGUAAGUGGUACAAUUAGUAAAUUACAAUUAGUAUAUUAUUGUUAUUAAUUUAUUAUCUAUUGUAUGUGGAUAUUAGUAGUUAUAAAAUAUGAUAUAUUUUAGUAAGUAUUUGCCAGAUGUUGUAUUCUAGGCUUCAUAGCAUUUAACAUGCUCUCUGGCUCUGCAAGCGUGGCAUCGCUACCCGUGAAAAGCUCGGUUUUUCUGUAGAGCGUGGCUUUGUCUUUUGUACGGGGUUUCCCGUUUUUCCUUACGGUCUUACGUUUGUCUGCGUGUGACCUCCCCGAGCUCGUCAGCCAAAGUGCCAUCAGACACGGUUUACUCCAACAUUGCCCCUUUUUUUUUGGCAGAAGGGUACUUUAAGACGAAGAUAAAACACAACAGGAGUAUUCUCAACUGUAUUUACACCAUCAGCUCACUUACGAUGCGAUCGGAAAGGCGUCCCAGGGUUUAAACAGAACGGAGGCAAUAAUACUCAGAUAACAGAUUUCCAAUACCCCUGGCUCAGAACGAAAUAAUCAAAUCAGAAAGUCAAAAUAAAGGUCAUUGAUGGAAGGAGUCAAAUUAACCCUCACCUUGCUCACUCAAUGACGUGCUCAGUGCCGCAGAUCAGACGUCGAGUUGUGCAUCACUUUUUUUUCGUGGAGUAUGCUUAGAUAUAGCACACAUUUAAAUAGCGAGUCAUUUCUUAAAAGACCUACGCCUGGUCGCAGCUGGUGCUUCCAGCGCUUUAC